rnacentral:rRNA from 1 species
GGUGUCGAGGUUGUCGUGCUUUGUCUGGGUUCAUCUGGUGGUGUAGCCGCCGCCGGUGCAUUUCCAGUCGAGGUUGGACCGUCAGUCGGGAAGACGCGGGAAUCUGGUUGUCGGUGUUGGGGAGGUAGGCCCUGCGGUUGCUCUCGAGUGCCCAGGGUCACGUAUAGCCCUUCRCCGUGAUCUCYGUUGUCUUUCAGGUGCGUUGGAUGGCCGUUCGUCCAUUGUUGGUAGGUGCAGUCUCCCCUCGUGGGAGUUCGGGCCGGAGGCGGAGUCGCUUGACGUUGCGUAGCUUGUGUUCCGUUCUCUCGCCGUUUGACUCGUUCGGCGGUGUAGGGUGCGGCACGGCACGCGGUGUUCGAGUCCUACGCAGUCGUGUCCAAGUUCUGUGCCGAGGUGACUGGCGAAGAGUCGUUACUCUGUGC